rnacentral:rRNA from 1 species
GAUGAACGCUGGCGGCGUGCCUAAUACAUGCAAGUCGAGCGAAUGGAUUAAGAGCUUGCACUUAUGAAGUUAGCGGCGGACGGGUGAGUAACACGUGGGUAACCUGCCCAUAAGACUGGGAUAACUCCGGGAAACCGGGGCUAAUACCGGAUAACAUUUUGAACCGCAUGGUUCGAAAUUGAAAGGCGGCUUCGGCUGUCACUUAUGGAUGGACCCGCGUCGCAUUAGCUAGUUGGUGAGGUAACGGCUCACCAAGGCAACGAUGCGUAGCCGGCCUGAGGGGGUGAUCGGCCACACUGGGACUGAGACACGGCCCAGACUCCUACGGGAGGCAGCAGUAGGGAAUCUUCCGCAAUGGACGAAAGUCUGACGGAGCAACGCCGCGUGAGUGAUGAAGGCUUUCGGGUCGUAAAACUCUGUUGUUAGGGAAGAACAAGUGCUAGUUGAAUAAGCUGGCACCUUGACGGUACCUAACCAGAAAGCCACGGCUAACUACGUGCCAGCAGCCGCGGUAA